rnacentral:lncRNA from 1 species
GGCGCGAUCUCGACUCACUGCAAGCUCCGCCUCCCGGGUUCACGCCAUUCUCCUGCCUCAGCCUCCCGUGUAGCUGGGACUACAAUGGGCACGCUUUUCAACAUCAGCUUUCUUAAACGUGUGCUGCCUCUUACCCCAAGUCUGAUUCCUUGCAGAAUAUGACAUUUGUGAGUCACGGUAAGGUGGCUUUUUCAUGGUCUGUGGCUUCUGUGAUAAAUGGCCAAAAAAUGGAGUGGCUUUGAAUAACAGACAUCUAUUCUCUUUCAGUCCGGGAGGCCAGAAGUGUGAAGUCAAGGUGUCGGCCUGGCCGUGCUCCCUCCGGAGUCUUCAGGGGAGGGUCCUUCCUGCCUCUUCCAGCUCCUGGUGGCUCCUGCAGUCCUUGGCUCACAGCUGCAUCUCCCCAGCCUUGGCCUCCGUCUUCACAUAAUCAUAUUCUCUGAGUUUUCUCCUCUCUUUUCUGUUUUUCUCCUCUGUGUAUCUCAUAAACACACUUGUCAUUGGAUUUAGGGCCCGCCUGGCUAAUCCAGGAUGAUCCCCUUUGGAGAUCCUUAACCUUAUUACAUCUUCAAAAAGCCCCUUUUCAAAAAAGGUCACAUUCACAGUUUCCAGAUAUAAUUUUCUGGACAUGUCUUUCUGGAGGCCACCAUUCUACCCACUACAGAUGGUGACUGUUAGGGGCUGAAUGGUGGCCCUCAAAUUUCAUAUGUUGAAAUCCCCACUCCCAGUACCUCAGAAUGUGGCUCUAUUUGGAGAUAAGGUUUUUAAAGGAUUAAUUAAGUUAAAAUGAGGCUAUAAAGGUGGAACCUUAGCUAAUAUGACUGGCAUCUUUGUUUAAACAGGGAGAGACACUGGGGGGUGUGUGUGCACAGAAAAAUAGCAGGUGAAGACACAGUGAGAGGGCAGCCUUCUACAAGGCAAGGAGAGAGGCCUCGGGAAACUAGCCCCGCUAGCACCCUGACCUUGGACGUCCAGCCUCCAGAACUGUGAGACAAUAAAGUCCUGUUGCCAGGCUUCUGAGGUCCUGGAGACCCACAGCUAGGCUGGGAGCAGGAUGGCUGCUGUGAAGGUGGUAGCUGCGGAAGAAGUGGUGGCAGUGGUCACAGCCCUGGGAGAGAUGAAGGGGUCUACAUGGGCCAGCACUGAGACCUGUCAUGGAGGCCAACAGGAAUCCCCAUCCCUGGAGCCGUCUGCGACUUGCAGGCUGAGUUCUUCCCCUGCGUGGCCUGAAGUGGCCCAGCUGUGAGAAGCCAUUGUGAGGAAUGAUGUUUGUUUAAUAGAGAGUGCGCCAGCAUCGAACUGUCUGCAGGCUGAACCCCUAGGGAGGAGGAGAGGAAAGAAAGCCCGAUGGCUUCAGGCUCAGGUCUUUAAAACUCGUUCUGGGAGAGAACACAUUUGCAGAGCCCCACACUGGGCUCCAGGCUCCUAGAAGCAGCGGGAGCCUGCGUGGGGGCUUUGCAGUUCUUCAUGGAUCGCCGGUUUCAUCUUCUGGGGCCCACCACGCUGACUUGUAUGCAGCUUGCCUGGUGCCGACGGCCUCCAUCCAGCACCCCCUGGACCUGCCUCCGAGUCUGGGUUUGGGGAGCAGAAACAGCAUGAUCUGGGGGACAGGGAUGGUCCCUAGGGGUUGUUAGGCUCCUCUGCCCUCCACCCCACCCACGUAGGCACCAGAUACGAAUGCAAAUGGAGUCACCUCUGGGCCAGCUGUCCUGAUCCUCCUGGGCCCCUGGGGUUUCCCUCCUGACUCUGCUCCCUGGCGGUCUGGGCUGUCUAUGUAGUCCUGCCUGGGAGUCCCAGGCAGGCUGGCGGAGGAGAUGGUGUCAGGGCUGGGCUUGGGAGGAUAGGAGGAAGUUUCCAGGAGUGGAGGGAAGGGGUGGGCAUUUCUGAUGCUAAAAGGGGGUCCCAAGGCCUGGAGUUGCCUGGGGCCUGAGGGUGGCACUGGGAAGUCAAUAGCAGGCUUUUAAAAAUAUUUCUUAUUGUGGUAAAAUACGCAUAAUCAUGAAACUUACCAUGUUAAUCAUUAGGUAUACAGUUGAGUGACACUAAGCACAUUCACCCUGUGUAGCCGUCACCGCCCUCCCCUCCAGGAUGUGCUCAUCUUUCCAGGCCAAAGCUCCCCACCCAUGGAACACUAACUUCUCCCGCCUCCCCGUGCCGUGCUGUGCUGUGCUGUGUUGU